GCGAGAGUGGCGGAAUUGGUAGACGCACUGGAUUUAGGUUCCAGCGCCUUCGGGCGUGGGGGUUCGAGUCCCCCCUUUCGCACCA
rnacentral:tRNA from 1 species